rnacentral:rRNA from 1 species
UGGGGAAUAUUGCACAAUGGGGGAAACCCUGAUGCAGCGACGCCGCGUGAGCGAAGAAGUAUUUCGGUAUGUAAAGCUCUAUCAGCAGGGAAGAAAAAAAUGACGGUACCUGACUAAGAAGCCCCGGCUAACUACGUGCCAGCAGCCGCGGUAAUACGUAGGGGGCAAGCGUUAUCCGGAUUUACUGGGUGUAAAGGGAGCGCAGGCGGUGCGGCAAGUCUGAUGUGAAAGCCCGGGGCUCAACCCCGGGACUGCAUUGGAAACUGUCGUACUUGAGUAUCGGAGAGGUAAGUGGAAUUCCUAGUGUAGCGGUGAAAUGCGUAGAUAUUAGGAGGAACACCAGUGGCGAAGGCGGCUUACUGGACGAUAACUGACGCUGAGGCUCGAAAGCGUGGGGAGCAAACA